rnacentral:rRNA from 1 species
UACGAAGGGUGCAAGCGUUACUCGGAAUUACUGGGCGUAAAGCGUGCGUAGGCGGUUUGUUAAGUCUGUCGUGAAAGCCCCGGGCUCAACCUGGGAAUGGCGAUGGAAACUGGCGAGCUAGAGUACGGUAGAGGAGAGUGGAAUUCCCGGUGUAGCAGUGAAAUGCGUAGAGAUCGGGAGGAACAUCAGUUGCGAAGGCGGCUCUCUGGACCAUUACUGACGCUGAGGCACGAAAGCGUGGGGAGCAAACAGG